rnacentral:lncRNA from 1 species
UCGGAUUUUUAGCAAAAAACCAGGAAAAAACCCCUCUGGUUGUGGUCCCCUUCAUGCUUGAGUUUCGGCAGCCAUAAAUGACCAGGUCCUUCCCCCAAACUUCAUCCUCCUCGAGACCCCAAACCCGUCGACCAACACCUGCUCCUCUACCUCAACCAGAGCAACAGUCCAGACAUGCACAAAAUCCGGCAAACUAGUGUUUUACAGUGAGUUUUUGAAUCAUUCGAGGAUGGUUCCAGUUGAGUUUGGCGAGGUGCAACGUUUGGAUUUGUCGAGGUCUUGUUCGCCGGUCUUUUUCUGAGUUCGAAUCGGCAAAAAACAGGGAAAGAAAAUGUUGCCAUAUUAAGGUCCAUUUUCUUUCAUUUUUGGCUCAUGCUUUUAGGUAGUCUGAAGUGUUGUUAGUGUUAAUUUUCAUCAGAAAUGUAUGUGUGUUUGAACUUCACGUGCUCAAAUGAUAACAAGAAGAGGUUAACCUUCCUAAAGCUAUUUUGAGUCUAGAACAAACAGUGAUUAAACCUUGACAUGUUCUUUGGCUUAUGUGCUUAUGUUAAUUGUAAAACAUUCUGAUUGUUUAGACUCAUGCUGUUCAUUACAAAUAUAUUAAAUCUUAAGUUGGGUCUUACUUGAAUUAAAAGGUCAAGAGAAUGUUUCUAUUUUUUGGAAUUCGUUAGGAUUUGAGUUUUUUUUAAAAAUACAAAAAUAUUAUGCUUUCUUCAUCUUUAAUUUCGAAUUUCUAGUUUCAAAAGUGAAAUUUGCUUGAGGCUUUGUUGGGGUUCGUGGGUUCGUUCAAUUAACUGAAAGCCUAAACAUUAGUGUUUUGAUUUUAAAUAAUUUGUUUGGCUUCUCUUUUCCUUUACUGAAUUUCUCCGGUUUUUGACACAACCAUACUUGAAUUAUAGGUUUCAUUUAACAAUGUUAAUUUCAUUCUUGACUUUCAUGUGCUCUACGUUGAAAAACCCAUGGCCCUCAUGUAAUUAACACUAACUCUUUUAAAAUCGGGUUGUGCCAUUAGUUGAAUUUUUCUAUGGCCCUCGCAAACUUGAAAGUGCGUAGUUGCUUUAGGUAUACUAUUUAAAUCAAUUUCCUUAAACUCGGGUGUGCAUUUCAUGUGAUCCAACUCCAAUUCUCAACAACGUUAAAUAAAAUGUGUCGUGGAUCGCGGGUGCAUUUCAUGUGACGUGGUUCAAGGCGUGUUCUAAAUAAAGUUGAAUCUUCCUAAAAAAUAAUUAAAAGCGGUUUAAUAAGUUAAAAUGUACCGUAGGCUAAAACAUGUACUAAAAUCAAGUAAAUAGGCCAAUUAUAAUAGUUGAGCGACCGUGCUAGAACCAUGGAACUCGGGAAUGCCUAACACCUUCUCCCGGUUUAACAGAAUUCCUUACCCAGAUUUCUGUGUUCGCGGACUAUAAAAUAGAGUCAAUCUUUCCUCGAUUCGAGAUUUGAACCGGUGACUUGGGACACCCUAAAUUAUCCCAAGUGGUGACUCUGAAUCUUUAAACAAAUAAUCCCGUUUCAAUUGUCACUUUAAGUUGGAAAAAACUCCUUUAUACCCUUACGGGGGUAGUAAAAAUGAGGUGUGAUAGCUCUGUCGACUUUGCUGGGUAAAAGAACCCAGAACUUCUGGUUCAGGGUUCAAAAAUUCGAGCUUAGGAUAAUUGUUAUAUUAUGCUUUAUUUAUUAUCUGGUUUUAUUACAUGUUUGGGCCAAAUGUGCUAAAUGUUGUUUAUUUUUUACCGCUUUGAUAUUAUCUGAAUUGUAUAUAAACUAUUACGAAACCCUUCUCUUCUCACCUCUAGCGAUGUGCACGUUGGCGUGACUCCUCUUUUGUUAGUGUCAUACCUUAAAUUAGGAAGAGGCUCGGACAAGUUACAAAGCCGGAUGGCCUUUUGGUUCCCGGUAUGUAGCCCCCCUCAGCUCGAGUUGUCCGAUCGGGUACACAAGUCUAGAACAACAUACUCAGGUUUUGAACUUAUACUAAUUCAGCGUCAUGCCGGAUCUCUAGUAGGAACGUUUGUUUGCAUCACGUGCAUCUAAAUUUUGGGACUCAACACAGGGGUUGGGUCCGUCUAGGACAGGUGUGCCCAAAAAAUAAAAGAUCAUCCUGAUGCAUCUUAUGUGCUACAUAUUGCAAUUUUCAAGGGUAAAAUGGUCAUUUGGAGGACCAAUGAUAGCUGAGGGCAAAUGAAAAAGAAAAAAAAGGAAAAAAUGAGGGUGAAGUGUGAAAAUAAAGCAAGUAGGACCUAAUUAAUCCAAUUGAACAUCGGACUUGCUUAGCAGAUUAGGCCAUUUAAUCCAAAGGCGCAUGUCACGGUCAUUAGAGUUGGUAUCCACAUCUGAUAAGUGUUUAAUUUCUUGUUAGGAAUCAUCUCUUUCCACUGUUCUUACUCUGUUCCUUUUGUUUUGUUUACUUCCCCUUCUUGAGUCUAUUUGAUUAGAACAAGUGAGAAAUGACUUCAAAAUUUGGUACCAACUUUCCAAUUGUACAAAACGAAAUUUGGCUAGCACAUCAAAGUGGCAUAAGUCAGGAAAGAACAACAUGCGCACUGAGUUGUUAACAAUCAACAUGCUUUGGGAUUCAUGUGAAAUACAAAGAUUUAGUAUAUAUCAAUUCAUGAACAAUGCAACAGAUAGAGAAAUUGGUUAGUCAAUAAGCAAGCAAUGUCUUUCAAGAUGAAAUCAAAGUUAUCAUGGAAAGUGAAGGAGCAAUCGCCGCAAAGUCAAGGCUACAAACCAACCACCAUGUUUAAACUCACAAGUUUUCCUUGUCUGAAAUAGGGACUGAAGGUAUGUUCAUAUCAAAGCUUGGAAGGUUGAAAUUUUCAGGUGUAAUGCCCCAAUUCUGCUUAUGCAAAGACUAUUGAGAAGAUCACACAUCACCACUAGGAAAAGCAUUUCCUAGUCUGGGUUUUCAAGUUAUAUUUUGUUGUAGGAGAUACACUUCUUAAAUUGAGAUUUUACCCUUAGGAGACGCACUUUCUAGUUUGGAUCAUAUGAGUUUUAGUUACUAAAGUUUUUACCCCUAGGAGACGCACUUCCUAGUAGGGAUCUUUCAGAUUAUACUUGUUAGAAGACGCACUUCUUAGCUUUGGUCAUUUAAAUUCAUUCAUAGGAGACACACUUCCUAGUUUGAGCCAUUGAAGUUUCACUCCUAGGAGACGCACUUCCUAGUCUGGGUCUGUCAAGUUAUAUUUUUGUGUUAGGAGACACACUUCCUAAAUUGAGAUUUCACCCCUAGAAGACGCACUUCCUAGCUUGCGCCAUUGAAGUUUCACCCAUAGGAGACACACUUCUUAGUCUGGGUCUUUCAAGAUACACUUUCAAGAGACGCACUUCCUAAAUUGAUAUUUUACCACUAGGAGAUGCAUUUCUUAAAUUGAGUUUUACCCAUAGGAGGCGCACUUCCUAAAUUGAGAGUUCAUUCAUAGGAGACGCAUUUCCUAGUUUGAGUCAGUUAAGUUCUACUCGUUGGGAGACGCACUUCCUAGUCAGAGCCUUUCGAGUUAUAUUUUGUUGUAGGAGACACACUUCCUAAAUUGAGAUUUCACCCCUAGGAGACGCACUUCCUGGGUUUGGUUCAUAUAAGUUUUACCUGUAGGAGACACACUUCCUAGUUUGGUUCAUUCAGGUUUUAUUUUUAGCAGACGCAUUUUUGCUAGUCAAAGUUUUUGGUUUUAAUCAUAGGAGACGCACUUCCUGGUCUAAUCAUUAGUUUGCUCUCAUCAUUGAAUCAAUAGUAUAAGUGGUAUAUACUAUUGCUAACAACUCACAAAUCUUCCUAGUGCAAACUGAGGCAGAAAAUUUUGUUUGUUUUGAUGAAAUCAGGCACCCACCUGGAGAACAAAGGGAGGACGACACAAGUUCAAAGGAAAGAGAAUCAAGUUCGGCAAUCAGGCACCCCACCUGGAGAGCAAUGGAAGAUAGUUCAAAGGAAAAGCAAUCUCAAGAGGAAGUAGUUCAAGUUCAGCAAUCAGGAGCUCACCUGGAGAACAAAUGGAAAACAAUUCAAGUUUCAAGAACAAGCAGUGCAAGUGUUGGUAAUCAGGAGCCCACCUGGAGAACGAAGGGAAGCAGCAAUGUCCAAAGGAAGACAACAAUCAGGAGCCCACCUGGAGAAUGAAGGGAAGCAGCAAUGUCCAAAGGAAGACAACAAUCAGAAGCCCACCUGAAGAAUGAAGGGAAGCAACAAUGUUCAAAGGAAGACAACAAUCAGGAUCCCACCUGGAGGAUGAAGGGAAGCAGUGAGGUUCAAAGGAGUUCAGCAAUCAGGAGCCCACCUGAAGAACAAAGGGAAGCAAUUCAAGUUUCGAGGAAAAGCAGAGCAAGUGUUGGUAAUCAGGAGCCCACCUAGAGAACGAAGGGAAGCAGCAAUGUUCAAAGGAAGAUAGCAAUCAGGAGCCCGCCUGGAGAACAAAGGGAAGCAACAAGGUUCAAAGGAAGUUCGGCAAUCAGGAGCCCACCUGGAAAACAAAGGGGGAACAAGGCAAGUUUCGGAGGAAAGGAAGAUAAUUCAAAUGCCUGAAAUCACGAGCCCACCCGGAGAACAAAGGAAAGUAAAUAGUAGUCAAAGGAAGACGGUUCAAGUUCAAUAAUAAGGCGCCUACCUGGAGAAUAAGAGAAUUCAAUUCAGAAUACAAUUCAAGUUAGCAACAAAAGUAGCUCGCGGCAAGAAUGCGAGUCAACAGUCCGAGGUGAUCAACAGAAGUUAGUCACAAUAAAGAAAAAAAGAGAAAGGCAAGAAGUAAAUCCAAAUGCAGAAGUUGAUGAAAGAUGUGGGCUGCACAAGACAUGGCCGAGGUCACAAACACUGCAUGCCUGGUCUUGAUCCAAAAAGAUGAAGAAGGAUGAACUAGAACCUGCAACUAGCAAGCGUCAAGGUUCAAAUCUAAGGUCUGCAUGAAGAACCACUCAAGACUCAAGAUCAAGCUUCAGAAGAUUUAUAGAUAAAAAUCUUGUAACUCGUAAUUGAUAGGCUUAGCUAAUCUUUUUCAUGUUUUGAUUUUUGAUGUAACAUCAGGACCGCGGACCGGAACCUCGGCGGAACGAUACCUCGACUAGCUCUCCACCUUGGUAUACUCCAUCAUCACUCACUUCUGAACUACACGUGGAAUGAUUCCUUUAUAGCCAAGGAUAUGUAGGCAACUCAGAUACUAGGGCUCGACCACAUUCUCCUUUUCUCUUAGUUUUGGUCUCCUUAAAUAAGGGUCAGGUCAAAAAACCUGUCUAGUCGUUCUUUGUCCGAAAACUCUUCGCAUUUCCAGUCAAAGAGGAGCAACUGUAGAUAUGUAAUUUUUGACCCUCCCCAAGAGUUUUCAUAUUUUAGUACUUAAAUAUUUAAUUUAGGCCUAAUAUUGUUAUUUUAAUUGAUUUUGACUCUUUUUCUUUAUUUUAUUACAAGAAAAUUAAAAUUACAAAAACAAAUAGUUUUAUUAAUAUUUCGUAGUCAUUUUAAUCCUGAAAAAUACCAAAAAUAAUUUAUUUUAAUGUUCAAUCUUAUUUUAAUAAGUUAUUAGGACUAAUUAAUAAAUGAGAUCGUAUUUUAAUCUCGUUUGCGAGGAAAGAAUAAAACUUUGGCUCGAGCAACCCAUUUUAGGCCUAAUUUUGGACUUAACCCAUAAUUCCCAAGCCCAUAAUUCCUAGGCCCAUACCCACCUAAUCCCUACCCCUAUAUAAUAGUACCUAAUCCCUAUAUAGACGGGGACCUAAAAAUUGGAAUCCGCCGUUUUCCUUCAGCAAAAAAUACAAAAAAUGAACGCCCAAAAAAGACCCUAAGGCUGACAAAAAGCUGCGCCGAAUUUUCAGUAAAAAACCAGGAAAAAACCCCUCUGGUCAUAGUCCCCUUCAUGCUUGAGCUUAGGCAGCCAUAAAUGACUAGGACCUUCCCCUAAACUUCAUCCUCUUAGAGACCCCAAACCCGUCGAUCAACCCCUGCUCCUCCACCUCAACCAGACCAACAGUCCAAACCUGCACAAAAUCUGGCAAACCAGUGUUUUACAGUGUGUUUUUACAGUGUGUUAUAGUGUGUUUUACAGUGUGUUUUUGAAUCAGUCGAGGAUGGUUCCAGUUGAGUUCGGCGAGGUGCGACGUUUGGAUUUGUCGAGGUCUUGUUCUCCGGUCUUUGUUUGAGUUCGAAUCGACAGAAAACAGGGAAAGAAAACAUUGCCAUAUUAAGGUCCAUUUUCUUUCAUUUUUGGCUCAUGCUUUUAGGUAGUUUGAAGUGUUGUUAGUGUUAAUUUUCAUCAGACAUGUAUGUGUGUUUGAACUUCACGUGCUCAAAUGAUAACAGGAAGAGGUUAACCUUCCUAAAGUUAUUUUGAAUCUGGAACAAACAGUGAUUAAACCUUGACAUGUUCUUUGGCUUAUGUGCUUAUGUUAAUUGUAGAACAUUCUCAUUGUUUAGACUCAUGCUAUUCAUUCCAAAUAUAUUAAAUCUUAAGUUGGG